UACGAAGGGGGCUAGCGUUGUUCGGAUUUACUGGGCGUAAAGCGCACGUAGGCGGUUUGUUAAGUCAGAGGUGAAAUCCCGGAGCUCAACUCCGGAACUGCCUUUGAUACUGGCAAGCUGGAGUCCGGAAGAGGUAAGUGGAACUCCUAGUGUAGAGGUGGAAUUCGUAGAUAUUAGGAAGAACACCAGUGGCGAAGGCGGCUUACUGGUCCGGGAACUGACGCUGAGGUGCGAAAGCGUGGGGAGCAAACAGG
rnacentral:rRNA from 1 species